GAAAAUUGAAUCGUCGUAUGACGUAACAUAUAUUACGUACAUUUUUUCGGGCAGACGUACUCUUGAUAAUACGCACUUACAACGUCAUUACCAACGCUUCUGGCUUCGUUCUCAGACGCCGUUGAAUCAAAUAUAGAUCACACAUAGCCGAAACAACCAUGAAUUCAAACCAAGUCGCUCCCGCCCAACCAGUCGUGGACGCCCAACCGGGUUUUCAAA